AGCUCCAAUAGCGUAUAUUAAAGUUGUUGUGGUUAAAAAGCUCGUAGUUGGAUCUCAACAGCCUUGAAGCGGUUAACUUUGUAGUUUUACUGCUUUAUAGGCUGUGCUUUUGCUGGAGGUUUAGGGGUGCUCUUGAUCGAGUGUCUCUGGAUGCCAGCAGGUUUACUUUGAAAAAAUUAGAGUGCUCAAAGCAGGCUAAAAUGCCUGAAUAUUCGUGCAUGGAAUAAUAUAAUAGGAUGUCGAUCCUAUUUUGUUGGUUUUCGGGACUCGACAUAAUGAUAAAUAGGGACAGUCGGGGGCAUUUGUAUUCAAACGACAGAGGUGAAAUUCUUGGACCGUUUGAAGACAAACUACUGCGAAAGCAUUUGCCAAGAAUGUUUUCAUUA
rnacentral:rRNA from 1 species